AACGCGAAGAACCUUACCAACUCUUGACAUCCCCCUGACCGGUACAGAGAUGUACCUUCCCCUUCGGGGGCAGGGGUGACAGGUGGUGCAUGGUUGUCGUCAGCUCGUGUCGUGAGAUGUUGGGUUAAGUCCCGCAACGAGCGCAACCCUUGUCCUUAGUUGCCAGCAUUAAGUUGGGCACUCUAAGGAGACUGCCGGUGACAAACCGGAGGAAGGUGGGGAUGACGUCAAAUCAUCAUGCCCCUUAUGAGUUGGGCUACACACGUGCUACAAUGGACGGUACAAAGGGCAGCGAAGCCGCGAGGUGGAGCCAAUCCCAGAAAGCCGUUCUCAGUUCGGAUUGCAGGCUGCAACUCGCCUGCAUGAAGUCGGAAUCGCUAGUAAUCGCAGGUCAGCAUACUGCGGUGAAUACGUUCCCGGGUCUUGUACACACCG
rnacentral:rRNA from 1 species